rnacentral:sRNA from 2 species
AUGAACCGCUUGUACACUGCGCUUCCGGCGCGCCGUCCCGCACCCGCUGGCUACCGCGCGCAACGUUGUGCUCGCC